GAGUUUGAUUAUGGCUCAGAGCGAACGCUGGCGGCAGGCCUAACACAUGCAAGUCGAACGAAGUCUUCGGACUUAGUGGCGGACGGGUGAGUAACACGUGGGAACGUGCCCUUUGGUACGGAAUAACUCAGGGAAACUUGAGCUAAUACCGUAUGUGCCCUUCGGGGGAAAGAUUUAUCGCCAUUGGAGCGGCCCGCGUCUGAUUAGCUAGUUGGUGGUGUAAUGGACCACCAAGGCGACGAUCAGUAGCUGGUCUGAGAGGAUGAUCAGCCACAUUGGGACUGAGACACGGCCCAAACUCCUACGGGAGGCAGCAGUGGGGAAUCUUGCGCAAUGGGCGAAAGCCUGACGCAGCCAUGCCGCGUGAAUGAUGAAGGUCUUAGGAUUGUAAAAUUCUUUCACCGGGGACGAUAAUGACGGUACCCGGAGAAGAAGCCCCGGCUAACUUCGUGCCAGCAGCCGCGGUAAUACGAAGGGGGCUAGCGUUGCUCGGAAUUACUGGGCGUAAAGGGAGCGUAGGCGGACAUUUAAGUCAGGGGUGAAAUCCCGGGGCUCAACCUCGGAAUUGCCUUUGAUACUGGGUGUCUUGAGUAUGAGAGAGGUGUGUGGAACUCCGAGUGUAGAGGUGAAAUUCGUAGAUAUUCGGAAGAACACCAGUGGCGAAGGCGACACACUGGCUCAUUACUGACGCUGAGGCUCGAAAGCGUGGGGAGCAAACAGGAUUAGAUACCCUGGUAGUCCACGCCGUAAACGAUGAUUGCUAGUUGUCGGGAUGCAUGCAUUUCGGUGACGCAGCUAACGCAUUAAGCAAUCCGCCUGGGGAGUACGGUCGCAAGAUUAAAACUCAAAGGAAUUGACGGGGGCCCGCACAAGCGGUGGAGCAUGUGGUUUAAUUCGAAGCAACGCGCAGAACCUUACCACCUUUUGACAUGCCCCGGACCGCCACAGAGAUGUGGCUUUCCCCUUCGGGGACUGGGACACAGGUGCUGCAUGGCUGUCGUCA
rnacentral:rRNA from 1 species